UACGGAGGGGGCUAGCGUUGUUCGGAAUUACUGGGCGUAAAGCGUACGUAGGCGGAUCAGUCAGUUAGGGGUGAAAGCCCAGGGCUCAACCCUGGAACUGCCUUUAAUACUGCUGGUCUGGAGGUCGAGAGAGGUGAGUGGAAUUCCGAGUGUAGAGGUGAAAUUCGUAGAUAUUCGGAGGAACACCAGUGGCGAAGGCGGCUCACUGGCUCGAUACUGACGCUGAGGUGCGAAAGCGUGGGGAGCAAACAGG
rnacentral:rRNA from 1 species